rnacentral:rRNA from 1 species
GAUGAACGCUGGCGGCGUGCCUAAUACAUGCAAGUCGAGCGAACAGAUGAGGAGCUUGCUCCUCUGACGUUAGCGGCGGACGGGUGAGUAACACGUGGAUAACCUACCUAUAAGACUGGGAUAACUUCGGGAAACCGGAGCUAAUACCGGAUAAUAUAUUGAACCGCAUGGUUCAAUAGUGAAAUACGGUUUUGCUGUCACUUAUAGAUGGAUCCGCGCCGCAUUAGCUAGUUGGUAAGGUAACGGCUUACCACGGCGACGAGGCGUAGCCGACCUGAGAGGGGGGUAGCCCACCCGGGAACGUGACCACGGUCCAUGCUCCUACGGGAGGCAGCAGUAGGGAAUGUUCCGCAAUGGGCGAAAGCCUGACGGAGCGACGCCGCGUGAGUGAUGAAGGUCUUCGGAUCGUAAAACUCUGUUAUUAGGGAAGAACAAAUGUGUAAGUAACUAUGCACGUCUUGACGGUACCUAAUCAGAAAGCCCCGGCUAACUACGUG